GACGAACGCUGGCGGCGUGCUUAACACAUGCAAGUCGAACGGAAAGGCCCUGCUUUUGUGGGGUGCUCGAGUGGCGAACGGGUGAGUAACACGUGAGUAACCUGCCCUUGACUUUGGGAUAUCUUCAGGAAACUGGGGCUAAUACCGGAUAGGAGCUCCUGCUGCAUGGUGGGGGUUGGAAAGUUUCGGCGGUUGGGGAUGGACUCGCGGCUUAUCAGCUUGUUGGUGGGGUAGUGGCUUACCAAGGCUUUGACGGGUAGCCGGCCUGAGAGGGUGACCGGCCACAUUGGGACUGAGAUACGGCCCAGACUCCUACGGGAGGCAGCAGUGGGGAAUAUUGCACAAUGGGCGGAAGCCUGAUGCAGCAACGCCGCGUGCGGGAUGACGGCCUUCGGGUUGUAAACCGCUUUCGCCUGUGACGAAGCGUGAGUGACGGUAAUGGGUAAAGAAGCACCGGCUAACUACGU
rnacentral:rRNA from 1 species